rnacentral:piRNA from 1 species
UUUUUUUUCUUGUUGUGCCUU